rnacentral:rRNA from 1 species
UACGUAGGGACCAAGCGUUGUUCGGAUUUACUGGGCGUAAAGGGCGCGUAGGCGGCUUAACAAGUCACUUGUGAAAUCUCCGGGCUUAACUCGGAACGGCCAAGUGAAACUGUCAAGCUAGAGUGCAGAAGGGGCAAUCGGAAUUCUUGGUGUAGCGGUGAAAUGCGUAGAUAUCAGGAGGAACACCAAUAGCGAAGGCAGCUCGCUGGGACGGUACUGACGCUAAGGCGCGAAAGCGUGGGGAGCAAACAGG